CUGGCUCAGGAUGAACGCUAGCUACAGGCUUAACACAUGCAAGUCGAGGGGCAGCAGGACGAUAGCUUGCUAUUGUUGCUGGCGACCGGCGCACGGGUGAGUAACGCGUAUCCAACCUUCCCCUUAGUAGGGCAUAGCCCGGUGAAAAUCGGAUUAAUACCCUAUGUUGUGUCAUGAGGACAUCUGAAUAACACUAAAGAUUUAUCGCUAAGGGAUGGGGAUGCGUCCGAUUAGGUAGUCGGCGGGGUAACGGCCCACCGAGCCCUCGAUCGGUAGGGGUUCUGAGAGGAAGGUCCCCCACACUGGUACUGAGACACGGACCAGACUCCUACGGGAGGCAGCAGUGAGGAAUAUUGGUCAAUGGGCGUAAGCCUGAACCAGCCAAGUAGCGUGCAGGAUGACGGCCCUAUGGGUUGUAAACUGUCUUUUAGUACGGGGAUAAAGUGAGGGACGUGUCCCUUAUUGUAGGUACCGUAUGAAUAAGGACCGGCUAAUUCCGUGCCAGCAGCCGC
rnacentral:rRNA from 1 species